GUAGCUUUAGCUGGCGCGGCCUGGAAGGCGGGGCCUCGUUAGCGAAGGGAUUGAUGGUGGUGGCUGCAGAACUGAAGCUGCUGGAGCAGUCUCUGGGGCAUAAAUACAGAGCAAAUGUGGGCCCUUCAUGAAGAGUUGCACCAAGAUGGAAGAAACUGGUCAGAAUUUCUGGGCCACCUCUCCAGAUGGUCUUCCCAAACCUUACUAAACUUUAAAUUCCAGUUCUUCACACAAACAAUGACCCAAGUCUAACAGAAUUGACCACUAUGGCAAUUCACCGAGGCAAGCAAGUCAACAAAGAGUAUUUGCUGGCAAGUACUAUAAGAAAGGUUAGAAUACAAGAUCAUUCAAGUAGAUGGACGCUACAAUAAAGAAGAUAUCCACACUCUGUUGACGGAUCUUCAUUGAUAUGUUUAAGACAAAGUCUAUAUUACAGGAUAUAAUUUACCUUAGCAGAUAUCCUAUUGUACUAUGUAUAGGCUUUCUUGUUUAUAGUUGAGCUGACAGUUCAAGAAGUGGAGAAAUAUCUUAAUGUGUACUGCUGGUUUUGUCACAUUCAGCAUUACCCAGGCAUCAGGUAACAGCUGUCUAGUGUUGUCUUCAUCAAGAACAGACUGUAUACCAAUUACCAAUAGAAGAUACCCCUGCUGGAAGAAAUAUACAGAAAUGUUGAAAAUGUUUAAAGAAAAAUGUAUUCUGGACCUCAGUACUAACCUUAAUUGAGAUCGUCAUUGUUUGUUAAAUUUGGUUUAAUUUUUAAAGUAUAAACUACUGUCAUAAGUGCCUUAUUUGUUCUAUAGUUGAAGUUUUGCAGUUUUUAAGGUAGAAAUUGAACUGCUAUCAAAAAGUUCAGAUCAAGUUAUAAGUUAUUUUGUUUCAUAGAUGAGAUUUAUUUUAAUGAAAGCUGAAAAUCAGUGACUUAAUUUUAAAAAUAGGUAAUGCUUACAAUGGUUGAAAUGUGUGACUAUUAACCUCUCUUUCCUAUUUUAAAAUUUACUUUCCUUUUGUGGAUAUUUAUGGCUGCUUGUUUAUUAGACUCUUCAAUAAAUUAUGCCAAGGAUACAGAAAGGGAAGACAAAUCUAUUGUUUUCAAGUAUUUAUGUGAACUAAUAAAUGUGAUUGAAAA